AUGGAGACGACGAGUUCUUUAGGAGCCGACGAGAGACGGGGGCCAGGAUCGGUGGAGGUGCAGGUGGCUGCGGCGGCGCUUCAGCGGUCGGAGGUGUUCCACGUCGUGAAGGAACUGCUCGGCUUCGUUCUCUACAUGCACCACCAGAUCCCCUCGGUAUUGCAGAGUCUUGAAACUGAAUUUGCAGGUUUAAAGGAGGAAAUGUCAGAAAUGACAGCACCAUUGGCAGAACUGAAACCUUCUGAUCAGAGAAAGUACAACAUACGAAAAAGGGAGGUUAGAUGCAGAGUCAAGAAGCAGGAAAAGUUAAUGAAAGGCAUCUCUACCGUACUUUCUGCUUUUCAGCAAGCACUUGAUAAAGUUUCUACCAUUGAAGGAGUUGCCCUGAUCCUGGGAGGGAGUCUUGUACGACCUUUGUUUGUCUAUGACAUUACAGUUACUCAUGGUAGGUUUGAUUCUGGAAGUGCCAAAGGGCAUGGUACAACAAAGUUAGCUCAGUCUGUUUCUCGAAAGGCCGUCCGAGCUCUUAUAUCAUGUGGUGCAGGGAGUUUAUCUUACACAGGCCCUACCAAGCUGUUUCUGCUGGUUAGAUGUCCCUGUACAUUGAACUUACCUCUGGAUUUCGCGCCAAAACGGGAAUUCCGUUACAGUAAGAAGGUUGUACCCCAGCAAAUGUCUAUAAAAUGCAAUACAGCAUACUACCAAAAGAAUAAUAAGCAUGUUGCAUCAAUCGUGGAUCCGUCAUGUUGUACUUCAGAAUCUUCUCCGUCAGAUGUUAUCUGGUUCCAGUGCAAGCACACGAUAAGAGGCUUACCAUGCAAGGCGUCAGUAGAAGGAUGA
rnacentral:rRNA from 1 species